AAGUGGGAGCACCGCGGUUUCGGGGAAGAGACCGGGUUGAGCGUCUAGCGCAGCUCAGCGUGACUUCCGCCAGCGUUUAGAGCGUUUUCGGGGUCCGAGUUGAAGAGCAAAACCAAGUGAAGGAAACUUCACUAAGUUCAGGUGACAAGGGAAGAAGUACAGAGUGAACUAUUGGCAUGGCUCAAUCCAUUGACCUGUUUUGGUUCCUGAUGAAGUUUUGUUAAUUUAAAUGAGAAAAAUAAGGACAGUGAAAAACAGAGCGCUUAAAAAGCACUGUCUGGAUAUCUUCAGAGGGAAAAAGGAGAAAGUUAAUUGAAUUGGUGACACUUCGGGUCUCUCACAGAGGAAGGGCCAAGGAGAUUAAGAUCAAGUUGGGAAUUCUCCUCCAGAAGCCAGACUCAGUUGGUGACCUUGUCAUUCCAUACAAUGAGAAGCCAGAGAAACCAGCCAAGACCCAGAAACCCUCGCUGGACGAGGCCCUGCAGUGGCGUGAUUCCCUGGACAAACUGCUACAGAACAACCAUGGACUUGCCAGUUUCAAAAGUUUCCUGAAGUCUGAAUUCAGUGAGGAAAACCUUGAGUUCUGGAU
rnacentral:sRNA from 1 species